AACGUAGGUACCGAGCGUUAUCCGGAUUUACUGGGCGUAAAGCGCGUUCAGGCGGUUUGGCAAGUCGGGCAUGAAAUCUCUCGGCUCAACCGGGAGAGGUUGUCCGAUACUUCCAGACUUGAGGGCAGUAGAGGGUGGUGGAAUUCCGGGUGUAGUGGUGAAAUGCGUAGAUAUCCGGAGGAACAUCAGUGGCGAAAGCGGCCACCUGGACUGCACCUGACGCUGACACGCGAAAGCUAGGGGAGCGAGCGGG
rnacentral:rRNA from 1 species